ACGGAAGGCAGCAGUGGGGAAUAUUGCACAAUGGGCGCAAGCCUGAUGCAGCGACGCCGCGUGAGUGAAGAAGUAUUUCGGUAUGUAAAGCUCUAUCAGCAGGGAAGAUAAUGACAGUACCUGACUAAGAAGCUCCGGCUAAAUACGUGCCAGCAGCCGCGGUAAUACGUAUGGAGCAAGCGUUAUCCGGAUUUACUGGGUGUAAAGGGAGCGUAGGUGGCGUGGCAAGUCAGAAGUGAAAACCCAGGGCUCAACCUUGGGACUGCUUUUGAAACUGUCAUGCUAGAGUGCAGGAGAGGUAAGUGGAAUUCCUAGUGUAGCGGUGAAAUGCGUAGAUAUUAGGAGGAACACCAGUGGCGAAGGCGGCUUACUGGACUGUAACUGACACUGAGGCUCGAAAGCGUGGGUAGCAAACAGGAUUAGAUACCCUGGUA
rnacentral:rRNA from 2 species